rnacentral:rRNA from 1 species
UGACUACAGGGGUAUCUAAUCCCUUUCGCUCCCCUAGCUUUCGUCCCUCAGUGUCAGUGCAGACCCAGCAAGGCGCCUUCGCCACCGAUGUUCUUCCCAAUAUCUACGCAUUUCACCGCUACACUGGGAAUUCCCCUUGCCCCUAUCGCACUCUAGCCACCCAGUUUCAAUUGCCCUUAUAGAGUUAAGCUCUACGCUUUAACAACUGACUUGGAUAACCACCUACGGACGCUUUACGCCCAAUAAUUCCGGAUAACGCUUGCCUCCUCCGUAUUACCGCGGCUGCUGGCACGGAGUUAGCCGAGGCUGAUUCGAUGGGUACCGUCAUUGUGUUCUUCCCUAUCAAAAGAGGUUUACAACCAGUAGGCCUUCCUCCCUCACGCGGUCUUGCUCCGUCAGGCUUUCGCCCAUUGCGGAAAAUUCCCCACUGCUGCCUCCCGUAGGAGUCUGGGCCGUGUCUCAGUCCCAGUGUGGCUGAUCAUCCUCUCAGACCAGCUACUGAUCGUCGCCUUGGUAGUCCCUUACACUACCAACUAGCUAAUCAGACGCGAGCUCUUCCUCAGGCCAUAUAAGUUUUACCUCUCGGCACAUCGGGUAUUAGCAGUCGUUUCCAACUGUUGUCCCCAUCCUAAGGGUAGAUUCUCACGCGUUACUCACCCGUCCG